GAUGAACGCUGGCGGCGUGCUUAACACAUGCAAGUCGAACGAAGCACUUUAUUUGAUUUCCUUCGGGACUGAUUAUUUUGUGACUGAGUGGCGGACGGGUGAGUAACGCGUGGGUAACCUGCCUUGUACAGGGGGAUAACAGUUGGAAACGGCUGCUAAUACCGCAUAAGCGCACAGCAUCGCAUGAUGCAGUGUGAAAAACUCCGGUGGUAUAAGAUGGACCCGCGUUGGAUUAGCUAGUUGGUGAGGUAACGGCCCACCAAGGCGACGAUCCAUAGCCGACCUGAGAGGGUGACCGGCCACAUUGGGACUGAGACACGGCCCAAACUCCUACGGGAAGCAGCAGUGGGGAAUAUUGCACAAUGGGCGAAAGCCUGAUGCAGCGACGCUGCGUGAGCGAAGAAGUAUUUCGGUAUGUAAAGCUCUAUCAGCAGGGAAGAUAAUGACGGUACCUGACUAAGAAGCACCGGCUAAAUACGUG
rnacentral:rRNA from 1 species